CUAAGUCAACACAAAUCCAACGGUGGUGAUUGAGCAAUAUUUCGUGAUUAGUAUCUAAUCAGAUGAACAUUAUUGGCGAUUAAAAGAAAAGAAAGAAAAACCCAGUAUUUUUGUUCAUAGCUGAAAAUAGCUUGGGGUAUUUCCAGAAACACCUGGUGUGCUCACUCAGACUGAUUCGAAAGCCACCACAAAAAAUGCUGCGCCUUCAAAUUUGUCACCCACCCAUGUUGCACGGCCCUUCCCUACUCUGUACCCGCGCUCCGUUAUCCCUUUCUUGCCUCGCCGUGUCGAGAAAGUCCGAUUCGGAGCCCGACCCGGACCGAGCCAAGCCGAAACCCCGUCGCCGGAAAACCGCGGCCGGCGGAAACGAAGGCGGAGAAAAAGACCAGCCUUUCACGAUUCCGAGGAAGACCCGGCGCGGGCGGAGGAGCGAGGCGGCGGCGGUGCAGGAUUACGUGAGGGACACACUCAACCGGACGUUUAAGACAAUCCAGGAGCAGAACCCGGAGAUUUUCGAGAAGAAGGGAGAAUUGAUGAAGGAGAAAGCUUCCGCCGUUGACGACGGCGACGAGGGGAGUGAGAGAGAGGAGACGGCGGUGGUGGAGGAGGAGACGGAGAAUUGGCCGCUGGAUGCGGAGGUGGGGUGGGGGAUUAGGGCGUCGGAGUAUUUUGAGAAGCACGCGAUUCGGAACGUGGUGGAUGAAAAUGGGGUUGAGAUUGAUUGGGAAGGAGAGGUUGAGGAUAAUUGGGUCAAGGAGAUUAAUUGCUUGGAGUGGGAAAGCUUUGCUUUUCAUCCCAGUCCGCUUAUUGUCUUUGUUUUCGAGAGGUAUAACAGAGCAGCUGAGAAUUGGAAGGCUUUGAAGGAGCUUGAGAAGGCUGUCAAGGUGUAUUGGGAUGCCAAAGAUCGGCUGCCUCCCAGGUCUGUGAAGAUAGACAUGAAUAUUGAGAGGGAUUUGGCCUAUGCUUUGAAGGUUAGAGACUGUCCUCAGGUUUUGUUUCUGAGAGGGAACAGGAUCUUGUACAGAGAGAAAGAGAUUCGGACGGCGGACGAAUUGGUUGCCAUGAUUGCGCAUUUCUACUACAAUGCAAAGAGGCCGUCCUGGAUUGAUGUGAAGGAGCUAACUCUGCCAUACUAGUGGCAUUCUGGUACUAAAUCGGCACCCACUAAGAUUUAUUUUUGUUUUGCUUCUGUAUGCUGGAGUAUGAGCUCUGCCUUUGAGACUUUUAAUAUGUGACCUAGUGCUUUUUGGCCAUCCAGACUGCGGAUUAUGUUCUCGUGAGACCGUGAGAGAGCAUUGGGUUGCUCAGAUGUUGGCAGCAUGCAACACCGGGGACUAGGUUGUAUUUGCAGUGCUCCGUAUUUGUUUGUUUUCAUUGUGGCAGUGCAAAACUGGGUAUGUGGAUCAUCCGGUGAUGAGCAACCUGUAUGUGUAGCAUCAUGGGACUGUACUAAUGAUCAAGAGUGCAACGAGGUGUGCAAGAACAAGUAUAAGGUUUGUGGAACCUGCAUUCUCGAGGCACAUAACAAAGCUAGUUUGCCUGUGCGUCUAUGAUUGCUAGGCAUGAGGUAUUGCAUGGAUUGGAAUUACUGUAUAAGAUGCAUCAUCAAAUGCAAUAAGAUCAGUCCCCUUUUUGCAACUCUGCUCUUGCCCUUAUUGCAACUGUUUAAUGUUAUGGUUUUUGCACUAUACAGAUUCUACUAUAGAUUA